CCUACGGGUGGCAGCUGUGAGGAAUAUUGGUCAAUGGACGAGAGUCUGAACCAGCCAAGUAGCGUGAAGGAUGACUGCCCUAUGGGUUGUAAACUUCUUUUAUAUGGGAAUAACAUGUUCCACGUGUGGGAUUUUGUAUGUACCAUAUGGAUAAGGAUCGGCUAACUCCGUGCCAGCAGCCGCGGUAAUACGGAGGAUCCGAGCGUUAUCCGGAUUUAUUGGGUUUAAAGGGAGCGUAGGUGGAUUGUUAAGUCAGUUGUGAAAGUUUGGGGCUCAACCGGAGAAUUGCAGUUGAAACUGGCAGUCUUGAGUACAGGAGAGGUAGGCGGAAUUCGUGGUGUAGCGGUGAAAUGCUUAGAUAUCACGAAGAACUCCGAUUGCGAAGGCAGCUCACUGGAGUGCAACUGACGCUGAGGCUCGAAAGUGUGGGUAUCGAACAGGAUUAGAUACCCGUGUAGUC
rnacentral:rRNA from 1 species